CGAUGAAGGCCCUAUGGGUUGUAAAGUUCUGUUGCAUGGGACGAACGGCUAGGAUAGGAAAUGAUCUUAGUGUGACGGUACCAUGCCAGAAAGCUCCGGCUAACUACGUGCCAGCAGCCGCGGUAAUACGUAGGGAGCAAGCGUUAUCCGGAUUUAUUGGGCGUAAAGGGUGCGUAGGCGGUUUGUUAAGUAUGAGAUUAAAGCCUGAGGCUUAACCUCAGUUCGUUUCAUAAACUGGCAGACUUGAGUAUGGCAGAGGUAAACGGAAUUUCUAGUGUAGCGGUUAAAUGCGUAGAUAUUAGAAGGAACACCAGUGGCGAAGGCGGUUUACUGGGCCAUAACUGACGCUGAGGCACGAAAGCGUGGGGAGCAAAUAGGAUUAGAUACCCUAGUAGUCCACGCCGUAAACGAUGAGUACUAAGUGUUGGGGCAACCCAGUGCUGAAGUUAACACAUUAAGUACUCCGCCUGAGUAGUACGGUCGCAAGGCUGAAACUCAAAGGAAUUGACGGGCACCCGCACAAGCGGUGGAGCAUGCUGUUUAAUUCGAAGAUACGCGAAGAACCUUACCAGGGCUUGACAUCCCACUGACCGCUUUAGAAAUAAGGCUUUCCCUUCGGGGACAGUGGUGACAGGUGGUGCAUGGUUGUCGUCAGCUCGUGUCGUGAGAUGUUCGGUUAAGUCCGAUAACGAGCGCAACCCUUUUCUCUAAUUGCUAACAUUCAGUUGAGAACCUUAGAGAUACUGCCGGUGACAAACCGGAGGAAGGUGGGGAUGACGUCAAAUCAUCAUGCCCCUUACGUCCUGGGCUACAGGCGUGCUAUAAUGGCAGAUAUAAAAAGUCGCAAAACCGUGAGGUAGAGCUAAUCUGUAAAGUCUGUCUCAGUUCGGAUUGAAGUCUGCAACUCGACUUCAUGAAGCUAGAAUUGCUAGUAAUCGUGGAUCAGAAUGCCACGGUGAAUACGUUCCCGGGUGUUGUACACACCGCCCGUCACGCCAUGGGAGUCUGUAAUAUCUAAAAAUGGUAGCCUAACCGUUUACGGAGGGGUCCAUCUAAGGUAGGACAGGUGACUGGGGUGAAGUCGUAACAAGGUAUCACUACCGGAAGGUGGGGAUG
rnacentral:rRNA from 1 species